rnacentral:tRNA from 1 species
GCCCCCGUAGCUCAAUUGGAUAGAGUGCCUGACUUCGAAUCAGUAGGUUGAGAGUUCGAGCCUCCCCGGGGGCGCC